GGAGCACAGCAAUCACGUCACCCAGGCCUCAACAAGGCCAAACUAUAAACAGACCUGGCACCUGCCAGCGUCCCUGUCCCUGGGUCGGGGAGCUGCAGAUCAGAUAACCCUUCUGGUGACCCGGAGCACAGCAGCCCAGCCUUCCUCAGCAAGGUCCCCUAGCUAGCUGACUGCUUGGAAGGGGAAGACUUGUGCUACCUUUUAAAAGGUGGCAGUGAGGGCAUUCGGGGGUGGGGCUUGGCAGGGAGGAGGCCCAGGUGGCUCAUUCGCCAUACGGAAUGCCGUGUCACGGACCUAAGAUCAUCUGCAGGAUCUAGGAACUCAUGGUAACCAGAGACUCUGGGACACGGCAUCCCCACCGGUAAAGCAGAUGGCACUGAAGCGUCCCGAGACUGAAGCCUUAAUUUUGUUUCCUCCGUUCCUUCCCACGGUCCACACAAAGGCUACCCUACUCUGUACCUGUUUCUUUCUUUCAUAAGAGGAGACAGAGAAAGCAACGGGCGCUUGGAACAGGGUCGCGGUGUUGUGGCCCAGCCCCAGCAAGCAGCACAGGCACAUGCAGGCCCAGCCUGCACAGGGAGACCUCAGGACAGGACCCCAGGGCCUUCCAUAAGGUCCCGGAAAUGCACCACGAAGCCUUGUUCACUGCUGAGCCACCGCA